rnacentral:lncRNA from 1 species
CCACGUCAUUGUUGAGGAGGAAUGGCUCUUGAUAUGUUAGGAGCCAAGCAUUGUCCUUCUGUAAAUUGCCUUCUAUGAAAAUUAUUAUUAUUAUUAUUUCUAUUUUUCUUUUUGGAUUAGCACAAGCUAGGAAAGCCCAUAAGCCCAUUCUAAAGCGAUCCAUCCUCAAAUUUUGUCUGCUCCUUUGAAUCAGCAAGUCUUGAAGUGCAUUCCAAGAUCGAUGACCAACACCACGUUUCUCUUUUCUUUAUUAUUAUUUUUUUUGUAAAUACCACGAGGUGUCUCCACACUCGAAGGGUGGGAUUGAUCCCCGCUCGGGUUCGGCUUGCCCCUGGUCACAAAGUACUUUCAAUGAGUUUUGAACCUCUGCCAUUGAGGCACUAGGUAGCUCGCCAGCUGUAGGUAGCAGUUUGCCAACCGCACCAUACCUUGUGGUUACACCACGUUUCUCUUUCAAUUCUCAAUUGUGGGUGCAUUUCAAACUAGUACUCGAUUUUAUAGGGCCUUAUACUAAAACUCAUGAAAAAUCCCAUAUGUUACCUAAAGUUUGUUAAAGUGCCAACAUAGACGAAUAUGAGGCACAUUUAUUCUCUUGUACGCAAGGGACUUGUAGCUCUAAUUAAGAGCAUUUAUCCAU